UCUAUUAGGUUGGCGCAAAAGUAAUUGUGUUUUUUUGCCAUCAUGUAAGUGGCAAAAACCACAAUUACUUUUGCACCAAACUCUAAUAAUU
rnacentral:miRNA from 1 species